GAAAUGAGAAGCGAUUCGUCGGAUUAGGAACACGUUUUCAUUGGCCAGCUGCCCCAGGUUUCUCCACGCGCAACCUCCUCCUCUGCUCCUUUCUCUUCCUCGGCGCCGCCGGAUCUGCGGCAGCUCCUGCCGCACCGAGGGAGCACGGCGCCGCUGAGAUGCGGGGCGAUGCGCUGCCGCCUACCGCGCCCUUGGCCUUCCCUCCUCUACGGCGACGGCGAGCUCUUCGAGUCGGGGGCCUCGCCGCUCGUCUUCCUGCCCUGCUCCUGAUCCAGGGCGGCGGCAUGAACCUCUCCCGCGUCGACGAGAAUCUCCUCAGCUCCGUCUGCUGCGCGCGCUCCCUCGCCCUCCUCCCCCCGACCCCAGCCCCUUCCCGUGUCGAGGUUCCAGCUCGAGCUGUUGUUGCGGCGACGACUGGAUUUGAUGUCACUGAAGUUCUAAAAAUUACAUGAUGGCUUGCUUAAUUUUCUUCAUUAAGAGCAGAGAAGGAGAGGGAAGAGAAAGACAAAGAUAUUUAGCUUUCCUUCCAGUUAUCAUUGCAUUACUUUUCUUUAGGGUUUUCGAUCAUUGGUUCUAAGAAAUUAACCCCAAGAAAGGGUGCCUUCUGAUGUCUAUAAAUCUAAGCUUUAUCUGUUCUUGGGAUCCGAUGGAAGCUUGUGAUUUAGGAUUAAUUAGAUUAUCUGAUCACAAAAGUGGCUCCUUUCUUGGUUUGUUCUUGUCCCUGUAAGCUGAGCUUCUAUCCAUCUGUCCGUAAUAGAAGAAGCUUAUUUCCUUCCUAGGCUUGUAGUAUCAUCUCAUGCUCCCUUGUGCUGUGAAUUCGUAAUGCAAUGUAUACAAAUUGGAGGCAGCCUCCCUGUUUACAGUACUACUUACUACAGUUUUUUCAUUAAUUAAUUGGCUUAACUUGUACUUGCGCCUGCGCUUUUCUGCUAGAAUAAUGGGCCUUUUGCACUAAAUCCAUCAUUAACAAUGCCAUUUUUAUAAUGCUUGCAUGCAUCCCUACGAGCAGAUUAACGUGUGCCUAAACAAUAAAAAAAAGCCGAGAUACACAUCCUUCUUGCAAGCAGGAAGACAUGAAGACGGUGACUUGAUCCGCCCAGUCCAGGGGAGGAAAGCAACAGGGAAACCCCACCUUCUGCCACCAGUAUGAGAUAACGGCCAUAGGACACACGAUGCAUCCUGGUGCGCUUAACCCACAGCCAUCAUUUGGUAUGCCCAACAGAAUUUCUUACUGCCACAACUUGUUGUUUCUAGCAGGAUAACGUAUUGUUUGUUGUUGUCUUCGUUACUAUCCUUACAAAAGUCACUGGUCUAGGUUAAUUUUGGCCAUUCUUACUGCUGUUUGACUAAUGGUUUUCUUAUUAUAUUGUUGGUCGCAAAGCUAUCUGGCUACAGAUACGCUUUAACCUUUUUCCCCCAUGUAUUCAGACAGGAUUUGACAUGGAUGAUGUAGUAAGAAUGUACAUCCGAUACACACUGAAUGGAAAACAAUUCAAUCCUGAUGUGGUUCUGGAUCUCAUACGUCUUAGGAAAGCAUCAAUGUUUGAAGAUAAUUAAGUUGCUGAAAUUCUGAAUCAGAUAUCAAGACGAAUUGUUCGGGAAAAAGUGGAUGAGCUCGAGGAGGUGUUCUACGAGGAGGUCGGUGCUGCAUUUUCCGACACAUGGGUCCUGCCGUCUUGUGUCAGUUGGGUUUGAUGCUUUUGAUUUUGAAUUAUGUGAAGGAACUCAACCCCAUAAAGUACAUUCUGGCAAAUAUUUUGGAAGAAGUUGGUGAUGCCACCUAUUUCGAUAAGCAGGUUUAGUGAUCUACUAUCCUAAAUUCCUUGCUAAAAACAUCAUCUGAGAGGAAUAUUUAGCUUGGAUUUCCUCUUGUCAUGGUAUCAACAACACAUCCUUGCCUUUAGCACAGAUAUUUAACUGGUUAAUAUAUAUGCUUUGCUUACUUCAUCAGCCUAUGUUUGAACAUUUUGUAUAAUAUUUUUAACUGGUCAACAUACUUGUAGAUCUACAAUUAUUAUGUUAGGUGUUAGACCCAAUGAAUAAGACCGAUCCCCAGUAAUUUGUUAAUAUCACCAAGUCAGAACCCAUACAGGAGGUGGACUGCAUACUGCAAGUGCCUCACAUUGUUGUAUGUACCUAAUCCAAAGCAAUCCUUUGAUAUCCUCCUAUUUUCCUCUCUAAGAUAUGCAAUAUCCUACUAAUUUUGUUGGUUUGUUAAGUUAUCUUCUUGUACAUAGGUCACAGCUGAUCUAGAGACGAUCUCCACAAAGAAAAUAUUGGGCCAGUUGACCUUCCACGGGCAUGCAUAUCAGAAUCAAAUCAAAAGCCGGAAGCUUCAAUCUUGCCUUAUUCACAUAGCUUUUCAAGAUCAAAUGAGGAUUUGCCUGAUGUGGCCCAUAGCUAGAUAUUUGCACGUGAUAGGUACUUCUUUUUGACUGCUCUAGCUAUGUAAUACACUAUAACAAUCUCUAGGAUUUUAUUUAGCCACCAGUGAAGCCUAGCAGGUAGGUGGGUCAACAGUGAACCUUUUCAAUUGUCAUUAUACCAUUGAUAUCCAAAUCUUGGAUGAGUUUUUCUUGAUU